rnacentral:rRNA from 1 species
GACGGCAGCGCGGGAGCAAUCCUGGCGGCGAGUGGCGAACGGGUGAGUAAUACAUCGGAACAUGUCCAGUAGUGGGGGAUAGCCCGGCGAAAGCCGGAUUAAUACCGCAUACGAUCUAUGGAUGAAAGCGGGGGGUCGCAAGACCUCGCGCUAUUGGGGUGGCCGAUGGCGGAUUAGCUAGUUGGUGGGGUAAAGGCCUACCAAGGCGACGAUCCGUAGCUGGUCUGAGAGGACGACCAGCCACACUGGGACUGAGACACGGCCCAGACUCCUACGGGAGGCAGCAGUGGGGAAUUUUGGACAAUGGGGGCAACCCUGAUCCAGCAAUGCCGCGUGUGUGAAGAAGGCCUUCGGGUUGUAAAGCACUUUUGUCCGGGAAGAAAUCCCCUGCCCUAAUACGGCGGGGGGAUGACGGUACCGGAAGAAUAAGCACCGGCUAACUACGUGCCAGCAGCCGCGGUAAUACGUAGGGUGCGAGCGUUAAUCGGAAUUACUGGGUGUAAAAGCGUGCGCAGGCGGU